GGGAAUCCGGUGCGAAUCCGGAACUGUCCCGCAACGGUGUACUUGUGCACGUCUGUUCCCAGACCGUGCACAGGAGUCAGUCCGAGGACC
rnacentral:ncRNA from 19 species